UACGGGGGGGGCAAGCGUUGUUCGGAAUUACUGGGCGUAAAGGGCUCGUAGGCGGCCAACUAAGUCGGAUGUGAAAUCCCCAGGCUUAACCUGGGAACUGCAUCCGAUACUGGAUGGCUUGAAUCCGGGAGAGGGAUGCAGAAUUCCAGGUGUAGCGGUGAAGUGCGUAGAUAUCUGGAGGAAUACCGGUGGCGAAGGCGGCAUCCUGGACCGGCAUUGACGCUGAGGAGCGAAAGCUAGGGGAGCAAACGGG
rnacentral:rRNA from 1 species